CCUCCUGGAAAACGGGUGGUAAUGCCGGAUGCUCCGACAGGACGCAUGUCGUGUCGGGAAAGAUUCUAUCGGUAUGGGAUGGGGUCGCGUCCUAUCAGCUUGAUGGCGGGGUAACGGCCCACCAUGGCUUCGACGGGUAGCCGGCCUGAGAGGGCGACCGGCCACAUUGGGACUGAGAUACGGCCCAGACUCCUACGGGAGGCAGCAGUGGGGAAUAUUGCACAAUGGGCGCAAGCCUGAUGCAGCGACGCCGCGUGCGGGAUGACGGCCUUCGGGUUGUAAACCGCUUUUGACUGGGAGCAAGCCCUUCGGGGUGAGUGUACCUUUCGAAUAAGCACCGGCUAACUACGUGCCAGCAGCCGCGGUAAUACGUAGGGUGCAAGCGUUAUCCGGAAUUAUUGGGCGUAAAGGGCUCGUAGGCGGUUCGUCGCGUCCGGUGUGAAAGUCCAUCGCUUAACGGUGGAUCCGCGCCGGGUACGGGCGGGCUUGAGUGCGGUAGGGGAGACUGGAAUUCCCGGUGUAACGGUGGAAUGUGUAGAUAUCGGAAAGAACACCA
rnacentral:rRNA from 1 species